CCUACGGGUGGCAGCAGUGAGGAAUAUUGGUCAAUGGCCGGAAGGCUGAACCAGCCAUGCCGCGUGAAGGUCAGUGCCCUAUGGGCGUUAAACUUCUUUUGUGCGGGAGCAAUAAUGGUCACGUGUGGCCAGACGAGAGUACCGUACGAUUAAGCAUCGGCUAACUCCGUGCCAGCAGCCGCGGCAAUACGGGGGAUGCAAGCGUUAUCCGGAUUUAUUGGGUUUAAAGGGUGCGUAAGCUGUGAGGUAAGUCAGCGGUGAAUUGCCCCCGCUCGACGGGGUGAAGUGCCAUUGAUACUGGCUUGCUGGAGUGCGGAUGCGGUGGGAGGAAUGUGUGGUGUAGCGGUGAAAUGCGUAGAGAU
rnacentral:rRNA from 1 species